UCGCAUCCUGGGGCUGGAGCAGGUCCCAAGGGUUUGGCUGUUCGCCAAUUAAAGCGGUACGUGAGCUGGGUUUAGAACGUCGUGAGACAGUUCGGUCCCUAUCUUUCGCGGGCGCAGGAUAUUUGAGAGGAGCUGUCCCCAGUACGAGAGGACCGGGAUGGACGAACCUCUGGUGUUCCAGUUGUCGCGCCAGCGGCAUCGCUGGGUAGCUAUGUUCGGAAAGGAUAACCGCUGAAAGCAUCUAAGCGGGAAGCCUACCUCAAGAUUAGAUAUCCCUCCCGUUGGGAAACCAACGGGACUAAAGACCCCUUGAAGACUACAAGGUUAAUAGGCCAGGCGUGCAAGUCCAGCAAUGGAUUUAGCCAACUGGUACUAAUCGGUCGUGCGGCUUGACCAC
rnacentral:rRNA from 1 species